rnacentral:rRNA from 1 species
AGAGUUUGAUCAUGGCUCAGAUUGAACGCUGGCGGCAGGCCUAACACAUGCAAGUCGAACGGAUGACGGAAACUUGCUGCUGGAUUCAUGGCCAGAGGGGUGAGGAAGGCCAAUGACAUCUGCACUGUGACUGGGGGACAACGAUUCCUACUGAACGCUAAUACCGAAAACGUCCAACGGCAGAAGGCCGGGGACCUUCAGGUCUUGGGCUCUCGGAUGAGCCAUGGGUCGGAUAUAGCUUGAUGUAGAGGGAGAUGGCACCCCAACGCCACGAUCCACUAACUGGACUGAGAGGAGUAGAGGAUGAACACUGGAACUGAAACUCAGACCCGACUCCUACUCCAGGCGGC